CCUACGGGAGGCAGCAGUGAGGAAUAUUGGUCAAUGGACGAGAGUCUGAACCAGCCAAGUAGCGUGAAGGAUGACUGCCCUAUGGGUUGUAAACUUCUUUUAUAUGGGAAUAAAAUGUUCCACGUGUGGGAUUUUGUAUGUACCAUAUGAAUAAGGAUCGGCUAACUCCGUGCCAGCAGCCGCGGUAAUACGGAGGAUCCGAGCGUUAUCCGGAUUUAUUGGGUUUAAAGGGAGCGUAGGGGGAUUGUUAAGUCAGUUGUGAAAGUUUGCGGCUCAACCGUAAAAUUGCAGUUGAAACUGGCAGUCUUGAGUACAGUAGAGGUGGGCGGAAUUCGUGGUGUAGCGGUGAAAUGCUUAGAUAUCACGAAGAACUCCGAUGGCGAAGGCAGCUCACUGGACUGCAACUGACACUGAGGCUCGAAAGUGUGGGUAGCAAACAGGAUUAGAUACCCCAGUAGUC
rnacentral:rRNA from 1 species